rnacentral:rRNA from 1 species
GUCCAGACUCCUACGGGAGGCAGCAGUGGGGAAUAUUGGGCAAUGGGGGAAACCCUGACCCAGCGACGCCGCGUGAGGGAAGAAGGUUUUCGGAUUGUAAACCUCUGUCCUUGGUGACGAUAAUGACGGUAGCCAAGGAGGAAGCCACGGCUAACUACGUGCCAGCAGCCGCGGUAAUACGUAGGGGGCAAGCGUUAUCCGGAUUUACUGGGUGUAAAGGGAGCGUAGACGGCAUGGCAAGUCAGAUGUGAAAGCCCGGGGCUCAACCCCGGGACUGCAUUUGAAACUGUCAGGCUGGAGUGCAGGAGAGGUAAGUGGAAUUCCUAGUGUAGCGGUGAAAUGCGUAGAUAUUAGGAGGAACACCAGUGGCGAAGGCGGCUUACUGGACUGUAACUGACGUUGAGGCUCGAAAGCGUGGGGAGCAAACAGGAUUAGAUACCCGAGUA